UUAUACAUAGCCUCAACUCAUGUGAGACUACCCCCUGAAUUUAAGCAUAUUAAUAAGGA
rnacentral:rRNA from 2 species